CANGGAUGAGAGUACUGUUCAUCCCUUGACGGUAUCUAACCAGAAAGCCACGGCUAACUACGUGCCAGCAGCCGCGGUAAUACGUAGGUGGCAAGCGUUGUCCGGAUUUAUUGGGCGUAAAGCGAGCGCAGGCGGUUUCUUAAGUCUGAUGUGAAAGCCCCCGGCUCAACCGGGGAGGGUCAUUGGAAACUGGGAGACUUGAGUGCAGAAGAGGAGAGUGGAAUUCCAUGUGUAGCGGUGAAAUGCGUAGAUAUAUGGAGGAACACCAGUGGCGAAGGCGGCUCUCUGGUCUGUAACUGACGCUGAGGCUCGAAAGCGUGGGGAGCAAACAGGAUUAGAUACCCUGGUAGUCCACGCCGUAAACGAUGAGUGCUAAGUGUUGGAGGGUUUCCGCCCUUCAGUGCUGCAGCUAACGCAUUAAGCACUCCGCCUGGGGAGUACGACCGCAAGGUUGAAACUCAAAGGAAUUGACGGGGGCCCGCACAAGCGGUGGAGCAUGUGGUUUANUUCGAAGCAACGCGAANAACCUUACAGGUCUUGACAUCCUUUGACACUCUAGAGAUAGAGCUUCCCCU
rnacentral:rRNA from 1 species